UACGGGGGGGGUAAGCGUUGUUCGGAAUUACUGGGCGUAAAGGGCUCGUAGGCGGCCAACUAAGUCAUACGUGAAAUCCCUCAGCUUAACUGGGGAACUGCGUGUGAUACUGGAUGGCUUGGAUUUGGGAGAGGGAUGCGGAAUUCCAGGUGUAGCGGUGAAAUGCGUAGAUAUCAGGAGGAACACCGGUGGCGAAGGCGGUUCUCUGGGCAUUACCUGACGCUGAGGAGCGAAAGUGUGGGGAGCGAACAGG
rnacentral:rRNA from 1 species